GAGAAAACUAUUUUACGCCUGGAACUUGUUUUUGAACCUGGAAGUGGUCCUAUCUGGGAGGGCUUUAGAUUCCAUGGGACUUUUUCCUACAGCUCCAGGAAGCUGUGCUGCACGGCUCGGCUCGGCUCCUUCCCCUUGUGUGUACCUGCAGUGUAGAUUUGCAAACCAUCCCUCAGCCUUUUUCUUUUUUGGAUGGGUAUCCUGCAAGGGCAUGUGCUGCCCAGGGCCUGAGGGCGACACGGAGGGUCCUGCUGCAUCUCUGCGCUAGCCCUGGGCUCCCGCUCCUUGGUUCCUGCCCUUUCCAGGCCUGGUGUUGCUUUUUGCUAAUGCAUCGCUUUUUUCUGCUAGCGAGUGGCUAAUGCUUUGCGAAAAAGAGUCAGGCCAGAGGCAGUAGGAGUCGUUAUCACUUUUUGCAACGCUCCUGUUAUGUGCUAGUUUUGUGCAUUUUGCUGGGCUGCGCGGCCGCCUUGCAGCCCCUUCCCGGGCGAGCGGCGCAGUGCCCCCACGCGCUCCUUCGUGGUUGGCAGUAUUCGCUACGUGACUUUCUAACGGAUCUGUCCGAGAGGCUCGUGGUGGCUCACGCAGUGCUUCUUUUUUCCAAGGUGCUUCCUUUCCUUUUUCCAUCCUCCUCAUCCAUAUUUCCAGACUGACACUGCCAAAAUACUAUUUCCCUCCUGUUCCUUCCAGCGUUCCUGUUUACUGAAACCCGACGGUCGUUAAAGUGUGUUUCACUAACAGCUGGAUUCCUUUCUUUUGCCUCUCCUCCAAGGUAACUAGCAAUGUUAAUUUGCUCACUAGAAAUGCCAGAGGCGAGCGGAGCCGGAGCCCCGGCGCACAGCGGGCGGCGAUGCGGCGCGCUGGGGACUGUAAGAACAGGGUGUGUUGCUACAUGAUAUAACCUGGCCCAGGGCUUUGGCGUGGUGCCUUUGAACGAUCCCAGUGCUGCCUGCGAGCGGGAUACCCACGGCUCAGCUCAGGCGCCGCCGCGGGCUGGGUGCAUGAGGACUGUGCAUGGUCUCUCUGUAACGCACAGUGGCUUUGCAGCUCCAAGGUACUGUGCCUUUUCCUAAAAAAAUACCUAAGUUCAGUUUACGGUGUCCUUUAAAAAUUUUUUAAGUAUUCCUACACCUAGAUUAGUGGCAUAUGGUGAACCACUUAGGAAAAGGGAGGCAAUGCUGUGUUCCCAGUUAGGCUGUUAUCUUAAAAAGCCUGAAGGUCGUGUUGCAAAAAUAGAAAUCCUGUUUGUGCUGGCAGAGGCAUCCUGUGCGCCGCGGCUGGCGUGGGGACCGGCCGGGUUACCUUCCCUGCGCUGACGGAAGGGCCCGCCGAGGAGUCAGCGGUCCGUUCGGUAAAGCCGACGUCCCGAUGCCUCUGCUCACGUCCGCUUCUCGCACGCCGUGGAACGAGCUCUGCGUGAAGUCUCCCGCGGUGGUUAUUGCAAUAGGAUCGCAAAGCGGGCGCCAGCCCGUAGCGGCGCUCCUGGCUCCGUAGUCCAGGACGGAGGAGACGGCUGGGGAGCGAAACCGGCCGCUGCUCGUGCUGGCAAAGGCCAACGGGGGAUGAAGGAGCCGGGGAAUUGGCCCGACACCGUCCCCCUCGGGGUUGCCCUGCGUUGCAAAUCUGAACGUUUCCAGCUGCAGCUUUUGGGAAGUGAUUUUGGCCGCGGGUGAGGCAUUGGGCGUCCCCGGUCACUGUCCCACGUCCCCCCACCCUCGAGGUGCUGGGGCUGGGGGUCCCGUGGGAGCCAGGCGUCGCGGGCCUUGCUGCUGCCCAGACCGGCUGCUGCGGGCUGGGAUGUUUCUCAGGAAAAGCUCAUUAUGCAAACAGUGAGUUUCUUCUAAAAAGAAGGUCAUAUGUUUUCUAGAAUUGAAUUUAUUACAUUUGUAAUUGUCUCA